GUGGAGCAUGUGGUUUAAUUCGAAGCAACGCGAAGAACCUUACCAAAUCUUGACAUCCUUUGACAACUCUAGAGAUAGAGCCUUCCCCUUCGGGGGACAAAGUGACAGGUGGUGCAUGGUUGUCGUCAGCUCGUGUCGUGAGAUGUUGGGUUAAGUCCCGCAACGAGCGCAACCCUUAAGCUUAGUUGCCAUCAUUAAGUUGGGCACUCUAAGUUGACUGCCGGUGACAAACCGGAGGAAGGUGGGGAUGACGUCAAAUCAUCAUGCCCCUUAUGAUUUGGGCUACACACGUGCUACAAUGGACAAUACAAAGGGCAGCGAAACCGCGAGGUCAAGCAAAUCCCAUAAAGUUGUUCUCAGUUCGGAUUGUAGUCUGCAACUCGACUACAUGAAGCUGGAAUCGCUAGUAAUCGUAGAUCAGCAUGCUACGGUGAAUACGUUCCCGGGUCUUGUACACACCGCCCGUCACACCACG
rnacentral:rRNA from 1 species